rnacentral:rRNA from 1 species
GACGAACGCUGGCGGCGUGCUUAACACAUGCAAGUCGAACGGAAAGGCCCUGCUUUUGUGGGUUGCUCGAGUGGCGAACGGGUGAUUAACACGUGAGUAACCUGCCCUUGACUUUGGGAUAACUUCAGGAAACUGGGGCUAAUACCGGAUAGGAGCUCCUGCUGCAUGGUGGGGGUUGGAAAGUUUCGGCGGUUGGGGAUGGACUCGCGGCUUAUCAGCUUGUUGGUGGGGUAGUGGCUUACCAAGGCUUUGACGGGUAGCCGGCCUGAGAGGGUGACCGGCCACAUUGGGACUGAGAUACGGCCCAGACUCCUACGGGAGGCAGCAGUGGGGAAUAUUGCACAAUGGGCGGAAGCCUGAUGCAGCAACGCCGCGUGCGGGAUGACGGCCUUCGGGUUGUAAACCGCUUUCGCCUGUGACGAAGCGUGAGUGACGGUAAUGGGUAAAGAAGCACCGGCUAACUACGCG